rnacentral:rRNA from 1 species
GGAAUACCAAUGGCGAAGGCAGCUCUCUGGCUCGUAACUGACGCUGAGGUGCGAAAGCGUGGGUAGCAAACAGGAUUAGAUACCCUGGUAGUCCACGCCGUAAACGAUGACAACUAGCCGUUGGGCAGAUUUAACUGUUCAGUGGCACAGCUAACGCAUUAAGUUGUCCGCCUGGGGAGUACGGCCGCAAGGCUAAAACUCAAAUGAAUUGACGGGGGCCCGCACAAGUGGUGGAGCAUGUGGUUUAAUUCGAUGCAACGCGAAGAACCUUACCAAUCCUUGAAAUCUAGCGAAGUUCGCAGAGAUGUGAAUGUGCCUUCGGGAACGCUAUGACAGGUGUUGCAUGGCUGUCGUCAGCUCGUGUCGUGAGAUGUAUGGUUAAGUCCAGUAACGAGCGCAACCCCUAUCCUUAUUUGCCAGCGCGUAAUGGCGGGAACUAUAGGGAGACUGCCGGGUGAAACCCGGAGGAAGGCGGGGACGAGGUCAAGUCAUCAUGGCCCUUAUGGAUUGGGCUACACACGUGCUACAAUGGGAAGUACAGAGGGAUGCGAAAGCGCGAGCUGGAGCCAAACCCUUAAAACUUUUCUUAGUCCGGAUUGGAGUCUGCAACUCGACUCCAUGAAGUUGGAAUCACUAGUAAUCGCGAAUCAGAAUGUCGCGGUGAAUACGUUCUCGGGCUUGUACACACCGCCCCGUCACAUCAUGGAAGUGGGUUGCACCAGAAGUGGUUAGUCUAACCUUCGGGAAGACGAUCACCACGGUGUGAUUCAUGACUGGGAUGAAGUCGUAACAAGGUAGCCCUAGGGGAACCUGGGGCUG